CAUGAAUGUGAAAGAUUCUAAAUAUGGGUUCCAAGAAUUUGCUUUUGGAGGUUUUUAGUUAUGGAGCAGAGUCUAUACAUGUGGCUCAAGUCUGCUGACUGCCCUAUUUUGGAGGUCCCAGGAUCAACAGGAGGAUGAAUAACUAUGAUGAGCUGCUGGAACCCAAUCUGGAUGGAGGAGGCUGACAAUAAAGGGGAUUGCUCUUCUUGCAGACAAUUAGGUAUUUGAGUGGUGGUGAAGGAGAAGAGGAGGCCCCAGAAAAGAUACCCCAACUACUGGGAAGACUCUGCUGAGGAACCACCCAGUGCUACCUGUCUUCCCGGAGCAGGGAGAGCAGGCUCCUCCCUCAGGGGUCCAACCAGGAGGCUGGUGAGUCCCUUUGCCUAUCAGCACCUGUGACCAGCAGGGAAGGAAGGGGCAUUGUUUUCAGGGGGGUUUCAGUCAUAAGACCUUUGAUGCUGUAGGCCAUGACCCAAGCCACGGUAGGCUGAGAAGGACUUCCUUCCUGUGUCCACCUGCAGAACAGCAGAGGUCCUGCUCAUGAGGAAUCCAUGGCUCAAUUCUUGCCACCCACUUACCUUUAUCUGCAGGAUGGUCUAAUCCAUACUUGUUCUUGGUGCUAAUUUACAUGCCCUUCCUGGGAACUAUUUAUGUUAGGAGAACGCUUUGGGUACAAGUGACAGAAACCUAACUUAAACAAAAGGGGGCUCUGAACCCCCAUAACCCACUCUCAGGCAGGAGGGCUGCCUUAGGGAUCACUGCAGCCAGGG
rnacentral:lncRNA from 1 species